UACAGAGGGGGCAAGCGUUGUUCGGAAUUACUGGGCGUAAAGGGCGCGUAGGCGGCCUUCUAAGUCGAACGUGAAAUCCUGGGGCUCAACCUCAGAAUUGCCUCCGAUACUGGCAGUCUCGAGUGCGGGAGAGGUGAGUGGAAUUCCCAGUGUAGAGGUGAAAUUCGUAGAUAUUGGGAAGAACACCAGUGGCGAAGGCGGCUCACUGGCCCGGUACUGACGCUGAGGUGCGAAAGCGUGGGGAGCAAACAGG
rnacentral:rRNA from 1 species